rnacentral:piRNA from 1 species
UUCUUCAGUAAUCAAAUGGUAACCAGGGG